rnacentral:rRNA from 1 species
GACGAGGGGUCCAAGCGUUGUUCGGAAUCAUUGGGCGUAAAGCGGGUGUAGGCGGCUCUAUAAGUCAGGAGUGAAAGCCCCGAGCUUGAACUUGGGAACGUGCUUUUGAUACUGCAGAGCUUGAAUGUGGGAGAGGUUAGUGGAAUUCCCGGUGUAGCGGUGAAAUGCGCAGAUAUCGGGAGGACACCGGUGGCGAAGGCGGUUCUCUGGGCCUUACCUGACGCUGAGGAGC